UUAAAUAAAAAAAUACUGUAUGUGGGAAUGUCUUAUGUCUGUCCUACAUGUAGUGUUGGUACAUGAAAUAUUCCUCAACUAUAUAUAUCAUAAAUUGCUAUUACAAAUAGAAGUAUUAUGUUCAACAACUGACAUUUUCAGAUAUUAUUUUAACAAACACACUUUGAUGCUUACAAUUCAUUCUCUAUUGUCAUAGAUUUGGUGGGCACUGUCAUCUGUGAUCUUUGUGAUAUGACUUUCAUUAAGCACGUACUGAUGAAACUGUCACUUAAUAUGUUUUCUUAAAGUCCACAAACGCUCUACAUUUAUUCACUCUGUGAUAGGGUUGGAUCCUAUAUGCUACUUUUAUUAUUGUCAUGUAAAUGGUUCAGUGCCUAUAAUUUAGGCUGUGUGUAGAAUGGGGCAUGAAGGAAAUGACCUCUACUAAUAAAUUACUACUAGAUUAUAGUGAUAAGGAAAACAGCAUACACAUUUGGCUUGUGUAUUCAUUUGCCUAAAACUAAUCACAAUUCCAUUAUGUUUACAUAAAACAGAGAAUACUUCAAAAUGAGAAGAUCCUGCCAUGGAAAAGACGACUGGGUGGACAUAAAGUGGAAAGGAGGGGAAAUAACUCCCACCAUGCAGCAGGACACCUUCAGCUGGGGUCUUUAUAAUACAGGUUUGACAGUUAUAUUUUUAAUACUGAAUAGUUAGCUGUUAUGUGACAAUUAGGUCAACAACUCUAUUUUAUUUUUUGGCAAGGAAGUUGCACAGAACUUCCCCAACAUCCUCUCCCAAAUUGAUAUAGAACCUUCAAAAACACAUGGAGCAACUGUGAAAAGAAAUGGCUGAGGAUGUACUAAAAAUGUCUGAGUUCAACAAAGCCAACAACUGCUUCAUGUGUGCCACUGAUAAAGAACCUGGAUGUGGCCCAAAGACUGACUGGGAAUGAAGACAAAAGAGUUCAACAGAGUAAAGAACACAAACUGGAAGUACAGUCUUUGUUGUUGAUAAUGUAUACUAUACCCCAUGCACACUGAAGAGGCUCUGAAAUGUACAUCAACCAGGGAUAAAGAGAAAGUUAACUGAAAUGUUUCAUACUUAAUUGAAGUUGUGUCUGUUUGACAUGUUGGAAAGAUUAAAGGUCUACAAUUUCUGUUUAA